AGAGUUUGAUCAUGGCUCAGAACGAACGCUGGCGGCGUGCUUAACACAUGCAAGUCGAACGAGAAAGGGACUUCUUCUGAUGACGAGUGGCGGACGGGUGAGUAAUACAUAGGAAUCUGCCUAGUAGUGGGGGGCAACUUGGGGAAACGCAUGCUAAUACCGCAUACGCCCUAAGGGGGAAAGCAGGGGAUCUUCGGACCUUGCGCUAUUGGAGAAGCCUGCGUCGGAUUAGCUAGUUGGUGGGGUAAAGGCCUACCAAGGCGACGAUCUCUAGCUGGUCUGAGAGGACGAUCAGCCACACUGGGACUGAGACACGGCCCAGACUCCUACGGGAGGCAGCAGUGGGGAAUAUUGGACAAUGGGCGCAAGCCUGAUCCAGCAAUACCGCGUGUGUGAAGAAGGCCUUAGGGUUGUAAAGCACUUUCAGCAGUGAAGAAAUGCUUAAGGUUAUUAACCUUAAGCAUGACGUUAACUGCAGAAUAAGCACCGCCUAACUCCGUGCCAGCAGCCGCGGUAAUACGGAGGGUGCAAGCGUUAAUCGGAAUUACUGGGCGUAAAGCGCGCGUAGGUGGUUGUGUAAGUGGAAUGUGAAAGCCUUGGGCUCAACCUGGGAACUGCAUUUAGAACUGGAAGGCUAGAGUAUGGUAGAGGAGUGUGGAAUUUCAGGUGUAGCGGUGAAAUGCGUAGAGAUCUGAAGGAACAUCAGUGGCGAAGGCGACACUCUGGACCAAUACUGACGCUGAGGUGCGAAAGCGUGGGUAGCAAACAGGAUUGGAUACCCUGGUAGUCCACGCCGUAAACGAUGUCUACUAGCCGUUGGGGUUCCUUGAGGACUUAGUGGCGCAGCUAACGCAUUAAGUAGACCGCCUGGGGAGUACGGCCGCAACGUUAAAACUCAAAUGAAUUGACGGGGGCCCGCACAAGCGGUGGAGCAUGUGGUUUAAUUCGAUGCAACGCGAAGAACCUUACCUACACUUGACAUCCAGAGAAUUCACUAGAGAUAGAGAAGUGCCUUCGGGAACUCUGAGACAGGUGCUGCAUGGCUGUCGUCAGCUCGUGUUGUGAGAUGUUGGGUUAAGUCCCGUAACGAGCGCAAACCCCUAUCCUUAUUUGCCAGCGCGUUAUGGUUGGGCACUCUAAGGAGACUGCCGGUGAUAAACCGGAGGAAGGUGGGGACGACGUCAAGUCAUCAUGGCCCUUAUGGGUAGGGCUACACACGUGCUACAAUGGCCGGUACAGAGGGCUGCAAACUUGCGAGAGUAAGCUAAUCCCUUAAAGCCGGUCCUAGUCCGGAUUGGAGUCUGCAACUCGACUCCAUGAAGCUGGAAUCGCUAGUAAUCGCGGAUCAGAAUGCCGCGGUGAAUUCGUUCCCGGGCCUUGUACACACCGCCCGUCACACCAUGGGAGUGGGUUGCAAAAGAAGUGGGUAGGCUAACCUUCGGGAGGCCGCUCACC
rnacentral:rRNA from 1 species